UGGAAUGUUGUGAAUAGUGUC
rnacentral:miRNA from 1 species